ensembl:lncRNA
UCCAUCUUUUAAAUUUUUGUAAAAUAUUAAUGCAUAUUAUCUAUUCUAAUAUUAUCUUAAUUACAUUAACUUUGAUACUUUCAUAUCAUAAAAAGUGAUAACUCUUACAUAUCAUAAAAAUGUGGUCAUUAACCAACUCUGGGAUAUAAACUAUAUCAACUUAUUGACCCGAAUUAUAUAUACUAUAACACGUGGCCAAAAAUAAAUAUAUUAAAUCUAAACUCCUACUGAGGCUUGCCUCUAAUUUAAUGUUCCACAAGAAACCUGUUACACUGAAACAUUAAUGUUCAUCCAAGAACCCCCCAACUAAGAAUCUCCCCUGUCUACCUGUCUCCCUGUCAUCCUGUCUCCAUGUCUACCUGUCUCCCUGUCUACCUGUCUCCCCUGUCUACCUGUCUCCCUGUCUACCUGUCUCCCCGUCUACCUGUCUCCCCUGUCUACCUGUCUCCCUUGUCUACCUGUCUCCCCUAUCUACCUGUCUCCCCUGUCUACCUGUCUCCCUUGUCUACCUGUCUCCCUGUCUACAUGUCUCCCCUGUCUCCCCUGUCUCCCCUGUCUCCCUGUCUACCCUGUCUACCUGUCUCCCCUGUCUAUCUGACUCCCCUGUCUAUCUGACUCCCAUGUCUACCUGUCACCCUUGUCUACCUGUCUGUCUGUCUCCCCGUCUAUCUGCCUCCCUUGAGGUCUACCUGUCUACCUGUCUCCAUGUCUACCUGUCUUCCCUGUCUACCUGUCUCCAUGUCUACCUGUCUGUCCUUCUGUCUGUCUACCUGUCUGUCUGUCUACCUGUCUGUCUGUCUACCUGUCUCCCAUCUACAUCUCUUGCUGAUACACAUAAGGACUAAAAUCAAUGGAGGCAGGAUGAAGAAUGGAUCAUGUUAAUAGAUAUUGGUGUUAAAUUCAGGACUUGGUUAUAUCUGUAUCCUGACCAACUGGCUUUCAGAGUAAAUCUCUGACUUCAGUUGUUGCAUUUAAAAAGGCCAAAAAGUGAAUUAGUAGACAACCAGGGAUCCAGAGAGCUUAGCAGUGACACCAGAACCACCAAAUAAACGGUGUUAUUAACAUUACAAUCUAUGUUAUUACUAUGUUAUUACAAUGUCUCUUAUUGGAAUUGGAGUUGCCAAGUGUUUGAUAAUGAUAUUGUAGUUCUUAUUCUCUAGUUGACUAUGUUGUUGCCUCAGACGUCACUAUAAAGACAAGAUCCUCUCUCUUUGGGGAAGUGCCUUGAUAUUAGACCUGUUGUGACAUCAUCCUCUCUAGCAGGCAAAAGUGUCUCAAAGGGCACCCUGUUCACUAUGUAGUAUGAAACAUAGCAGGUUAUGAAGACAAUCCUGUUCACUAUGUAGUAUGAAACAUAGCAGGGUUCUAAAGACAACCCUGUUCACUAUGUAGUAUGAAACAUAGCAGGGUUCUAAAGACAACCCUGUUCACUAUGUAGUAUGAAACAUAGCAGGGUUCUAAAGACAACCCUGUUCACUAUGUAGUAUGAAACAUAGCAGGGUUCUAAAGACAACCCUGUUCACUAUGUAGUAUGAAACAUAGCAGGUUAUAAAGACAACCCUGUUCACUAUGUAUUAUGAAACAUAGCAGGGUUCUAAAGACAACCCUGUUCACUAUGUAGUAGGAAACAUAGCAGGGUUCUAAAGACCGACCUGUUCACUAUGUAUUAUGAAACAUAGCAGGGUUCUAAAGACAACCCUGUUCAAUAUGUAGUAUGAAACAUAGCAGGGUUCUAAAGACAACCCUGUUCACUAUGAAGUAUGAAACAUUGUAGGGUUCUAAAGACAAUCCUGUUCACUAUGUAGUAGAAACCAGUAGGGUUCUAAAGAGUGCCCUGUUCACUAUGUAGUAGGAAACAGUAGUGUUCUAAAGACAACCCUGUUCACUAUGUAGUAUGAAACACAGUAGGGUUCUAAAGACAACCCUGUUCACUAUGUAGUAUGAAACAUAGCAGGGUUCUAAAGACAACCCUGUUCACUAUGUAGUAUGAAACAUAGCAGGGUUCUAUAGAGUGCCCUGUUCACUAUGUAGUAUGAAACAUAGCAGGGUUCUAAAGACAACCCUGUUCACUAUGUAGUCUGAAACAUAGCAGGGUUCUAAAGACAACCCUGUUCACUAUGUAUUAUGAAACACUGUAAGGUUCUAAAGACAACCCUGUUCACUAUGUAGUAUGAAACAUAGUAGGGUUCUAAAGACAACCCUGUUCACUAUUUAGUAUCAAACAGUAGGGUUCUAAAGACAACCCUGUUCUCUAUGUACUAAAAACAUAAGAGAGUUCUAACUGGAACCCUGCUGACUAUGUAGUAGGAAAUAUAGUAUGGUUCUAAAGGGAACCCGGCUCACUAUGUAGUAGGAAACAUAGUAUGGUUCUAAAGGGAACCCUGUUCACUAUGUAGUGAGAAACAUAGUAUGGUUCUAAAGAAAUGAAGUGAAAAACUAUAUAGGAAAUAGUGUGCAGGGACCGUAGUUGUAGUCAGAAGUAUGAUAUGAGGAAUAGGGAGGCAACAUUGUGCACUAUAAUGAACAGGGUGCCAUCAGGUUCUGGUGAUAAGUAGUGAACUUUCUAAUAGUGAACAGGGUGCCAUCAGGUUCUGGUGAUAAGUAGUGAACUCUCUAAUAGUGAACAGGGUACCAUCAGGUUCUGGUGAUAAGUAGUGAACUCUCUAAUAGUGAACAGAGUGCCAUCAGGUUCUGGUGAUAAGUAGUGAACUCUCUAAUGGUGAACAGAGUGCCAUCAGGUUCUGGUGAUAAGUAGUGAACUGUCUAAUAGUGAACAGGGUGCCAGGCUAACUCUUGCCAUAUAGAUGUGACAGUGUAACUAAAGGCUAUAGAAUCAAUUAAGUUCAGCUCCACAAAUUACCCUUAAGUUGAGCAGCAACUCCUGCUAGUAGACUGAAGCUCAGGUGCAUUGACACUGGAAAAUGCCAGGUCACAGUGUGGAGAUUCUGUGGUGCUAAAAUCCUUUAACAUCAGUGCCAGUCUACAAACAACUACGGUAACUAUUACAACUGGUGGAUUUGAGUUAAAUUGUCCAUUAUAUAUUGGUCAUUAUAGCAGUGGGAUCUCACUUUUCUUAAGGUUAAGUUACCCUCCACCUACAUGUAUUCUUAUGUGUGAGGAAGGAGAUAUGUCUUGAGUUACAAAGACAGACAGAGAGAGAUAGACUGACAGGCAGAGACAGACAGAGAGACAGAGACAGAGCGAGACAAACACUGCACUAUAAAGGGAAUAAAGGGUCACUAUAAAGGGAAUAGGGGGUUAUUUGAGACUUCGAUAUAAGCUGUCUCUAGUCCUCACAGUCCCCCAACAUAUCAUGCUUCUUGGCGGUAAGAGCCUAUACUGGAUCUAAGACAGCCUUUUUCAACCUUCUCCUAGUGGGGACACAGUCCAACCUUCUCCUACUGGGGACACAGUCCAACCUUCUAGUGGGGACACAGUCCAGUCUUCUCCUAGUGGGGACACAGUCCAACCUUCUCCUAGUGGGGACACAGUCCAACCUUCUCCUACUGGGGACACAGUCCAACCUUCUAGUGGGGACACAGUCCAGUCUUCUCCUAGUGGGGACACAGUCCAACCUUCUAGUGGGGACACAGUCCAGUCUUCUCCUAGUGGGGACACAGUCCAACCUUCUCCUAGUGGGGACACAGUCCAAACUUCUCCUAGGGGGACACAGUCCAACCUUCUAGUGGGGACACAGUCCAGUCUUCUCCUAGUGGGGACACAGUCCAAUCUUCUCCUAGGGGGACACAGUCCAAACUUCUAGUGGGGACACAGUCCAGUCUUCUCCUAGUGGGGACACAGUCCAACCUUCUAGUGGGGACACAGUCCAGUCUUCUCCUAGUGGGGACACAGUCCAACCUUCUCCUAGUGGUGACACAGUCCAAUCUUCUCCUAGUGGGGACACAGUCCAAUCUUCUCCUAGUGGGGACACAGUCCACCAUUUUUUCCAUCCCUGCACUGAAACUCCUGAUUCAACCUCUCACCUCACCACAGAGCCCUAGGUCAGCUGACUCAGGGGGUGGGUAUACCAGGAUCUGAAUGGAAAUAUAAGAACAUUAAACUGUUCAGGUUGCAAAAGGUUUUCAUGUAUUAACUACACCCUGGGUGUUGUAGAAAAUACCAGCUUAUAACCAAUAAGUGUAUAGUCAGAGGGUUGAAAACAACAUAAAUGGCACCCAAUGUUCUAGUGUCUAUGGUCUCUACAUAUAUAUCCUGUUCAGUAGGUCAGGGGGAGGAUGUCCUGGAUGGAGGUGACAGAUUGAACAUAGAUCAGAAUCGAUCAAUCCCAAUCUAAGCCUCUGGUUUGGAGAUACUGCCAAUACAUGUUCAUCCUUUCAUUCAUAUAUCAACUGUGUUCUUCUGCGUUGAGUUUACUAAAGGAUACCUUUUAAAAAGAAAUAACGUGAAUGUUUACAGUAUAUACUGUAUUUUAUGGUUUAGUAUUUUUUUUCUCCUGUUUUAUUCAAAGGAAAUGUGGCAUUUUGAUUCUUUAAAAUGAAA